UACGUAGGGUGCGAGCGUUAAUCGGAAUUACUGGGCGUAAAGCGUGCGCAGGCGGGUCUUUAAGUCAGGGGGGAAAUCCUGGAGCUCAACUCCAGAACUGCCUUUGAUACUGAGGAUCUUGAGUUCGGGAGAGGUGAGUGGAACUGCGAGUGUAGAGGUGAAAUUCGUAGAUAUUCGCAAGAACACCAGUGGCGAAGGCGGCUCACUGGCCCGAUACUGACGCUGAGGCACGAAAGCGUGGGGAGCAAACAGG
rnacentral:rRNA from 1 species